UACGUAGGGUGCGAGCGUUGUCCGGAAUUAUUGGGCGUAAAGGGCUCGUAGGCGGUUUGUCGCGUCGGGAGUGAAAACCUCGGGCUUAACUCGGGGCUUGCUUUCGAUACGGGCAGACUAGAGGUAUGCAGGGGAGAACGGAAUUCCUGGUGUAGCGGUGAAAUGCGCAGAUAUCAGGAGGAACACCGGUGGCGAAGGCGGGUCUCUGGGCCGAAACUGACGCUGAGGAGCGAAAGCGUGGGGAGCGAACAGG
rnacentral:rRNA from 1 species